CUUUAGGGACCAGUGAGAAGCAAGAAAACUGUUUAAACGAAACAGAUAAAAAAGCCCAAGCAGACCCAUGACUGAAGAGUAAGGAAUCUAUUGCACCAGCAUUGAAGUCUGUCCAGAAAAAAUUUUGCGAUACAGACAGCUCUCUGCGACGCCCUCUCACAUCUCUGUUUGAAGAAGACUAGCAUGACAGGACCCAACACAUUGUAAAGGUGAACACAACAUCAGAGAAGAUGGACAGAGGGGAGAGUGUAGUCCCUAAGGCAACAACAGUGACUAUGGAGUCAGGGAAAAUGACACAUCCGCCAUCUUCUUUCUUUGUGAGCUAGAAUUGAUUCAUUCACUGUGACCUUCUCUGAUUAUGAGAGCGGAUCAGUAGGAUGUGGGGGAAAAAGACAUUCACCUGAUAUCUUUGAAGUCAGAAGCAUGCUGAGGAGAUGGAAGCAUCCUAUGCAAGGCAAGGAAGAAGGCCUUCCAUAUACAGGAUACAUCUAAUGGUGAAGCACAAGGACUAAUGGUUUGCUAAAGCUGCACGGUUAGCAGGAGGAACAGAGAUAUCACAAAGUUACAAUAUCACAAAGCUCCCUUCCAACCUCGACUGUUCUGUGAAUCACUCUUUUCCAUACUUCAAGAUAGUACCACCUCUUAUAUAACAUUCCCUGGAUGUAUUUCACAAAGGAGUGAGAUAGACAGAACUGCUGAAGUCAAAACUAUAGUUGUGUAUAGUGAG